GUAUUUUUCUUUUAUUAUUGUCGUUCGUUGCUGAAAAAUAGAAAGAAGUUGUAUUCAGAAAAGUCCGUACUUAACUAUAUUCUUAAAAAAAUGACAUCAAUUUUAUUCAAGUUAAACGUUAUACUUAUUGUGCUAUACGUCAGCAUGACGAUUAUCCAUUUGUCGUCACAAGUUCUAAAGAAUGAGGAUAAAUCACCGGCAGUAACUG